UAAUAACUUUUUGUUACAGGUGCCCUUAGUCAGGGAGAAUAGGGAACUGGGUGAAAAUCCCGGACGGACCCACCACUGUAAAGAGGAGACUUAUAUGAAAGCCACUGGGAAACCGGGAAGGCGUAUACAGUCGAUGAUUCUAAGUCAGGAGACCUGCCUGUAAUGUAAGUAAGAC
rnacentral:ncRNA from 2 species